AUGAACGCUGGCGGCGUGGAUAAGGCAUGCAAGUCGGACGAUUUCCUUUUUUGAAGAAGAUGCGAUUACAUCAAGUCAACUGAUAUUUUGGAGAUAGUGGCGAACGAGCUAGUAACACCUUGGUACGUACCCAAAAGUUUGGUAUAGCUCGCCGAAAGGCGGGGUAAUCCCAAAUAAUCCCUCUAUCUAUCGGAUAGAAGGGUAAAGUCGCAAGACGCUUUUGGAGCGGCCUAGGACCGAUCAGUUAGUUGGUGAGGUAAUGGCUCACCAAGACGAUGACCGUAGGGG
rnacentral:rRNA from 1 species